rnacentral:rRNA from 1 species
GGGCCCGCACAAGCGGUGGAGCAUGUGGUUUAAUUCGAUGAUACGCGAGGAACCUUACCAGGGCUUAAAUGUAGGAUGCAUUAGGUAGAGAUACUUAUUUCUUCGGACUUCUUACAAGGUGCUGCAUGGUUGUCGUCAGCUCGUGCCGUGAGGUGUCAGGUUAAGUCCUAUAACGAGCGCAACCCUUGUCGUUAGUUGCCAUCAAGUAAAGUUGGGGACUCUAACGAGACUGCCGGUGCAAACCGAGAGGAAGGUGGGGAUGACGUCAAAUCAUCACGGCCCUUACGUCCUGGGCUACACACGUGCUACAAUGGUAUGGACAGAGAGCAGCCACUAUGCGAAUAGGAGCGAAUCUACAAACCAUAUCACAGUUCGGAUCGGAGUCUGCAACUCGACUCCGUG